GAUGAACGCUGGCGGCGUGCUUAACACAUGCAAGUCGAGCGAGAAGUUUUGAAAAGAUUCUUCGGAUGAAAUUUAAAAUGGAAAGCGGCGGACGGGUGAGUAACGCGUAGGCAACCUGCCCCAUACAAAGGGAUAGCAUUUGGAAACGAAUAUUAGUACCUUAUGAAACUUAACUAGUGCAUGCUAGGUAGGUCAAAGAUUUAUCGGUAUGGGAUGGGCCUGCGUCUGAUUAGCUAGUUGGUGAGGUAACGGCUCACCAAGGCGACGAUCAGUAGCCGACCUGAGAGGGUGAACGGCCACAUUGGAACUGAGACACGGUCCAAACUCCUACGGGAGGCAGCAGUGGGGAAUAUUGCACAAUGGGGGAAACCCUGAUGCAGCAACGCCGCGUGAACGAUGAAGGCCUUUGGGUCGUAAAGUUCUGUUCUAGGUGAUGAAAACUGACAGUAACCUAGGAGAAAGCCCCGGCUAACUCCGUG
rnacentral:rRNA from 1 species